UGGGUCCUGUACAGCAGCCCGUGCGAGGCUGUCCUGGAGACCCCGCGCUGCCUGCACCUCUAUCGUCUCGGUUGUCAUGGAUGAUGAAGACGGCAGGUGCCUUCUAGAUGUAAUUUGUGACCCAGAAGCUCUC